UUUAAUUCUCAAAAUAUCAGGUUUCGACCGCAUGACCUGGUUUACCCAUAACGGACCUCCAUUAGACAAAGACUCUGUAUUGUUCUAUGUUGGCGCUGAGACAACGCUGAAAUAUUAUAGAAGUAAUUCCCAUUGUAUCGCCUUGAAUUGAAGCAAUUUUAUGCAGUGAAACCCAGUGAGAUCGCUGAGGAUUUGCAAAUAAUGAAGAAUCUGUACGUGGAGGCAGUGCUGCCGGUGGAUUUGAAUAAGAAUACAUCGUGGUUUCAGUACCCCGGGGUGUGGACGACAUAUAUUCUCAUCCUUUUCUUCUCAUGGCUUAUCGUGCUCUCGUUCUUCUCCUGUACCGCCGGAAUGGCCUGGACAAUCGUACACCUCGUUCAUUCUGUGGUGACCUAUCACUUUUUCCAUUGGAAGAAGGGUACUCCUUUUUCGGAAGAUCAGGGAAUAUACAACAAGUUAACAUGGUGGGAACAGAUGGAUAAUGGCAAGCAGCUGACUCGUAACAGGAAAUUUCUUACAGCAGUUCCUCUAGUAUUAUACUUAAUUGCAUCUCACACAACUGAUUACAAAAAUCCCUGGCUUUUCUUGAACACGGUGGCUGUGUUUGUCCUGGUUAUUGCAAAGUUUCCAAAUAUGCACAAAGUUCGCAUUCUAGGGAUCAAUUCAGACUACCCCAUCUGAAUGCAUGCCUGCGGGUGAGAUCAUGUCUGGACCAACAGAUUUUUAUAGUAUUAAGCUUUCAGAGUUUGUGUCUGUAUAGUUCUCAUAAGUCAUGGUUCUCAGACGUUUGAAUUUUCUUCUGUACCAUAAAAAUUGGACUUUGAGGGAAUUUUUUCUGCAUAAUGCAGAAGCUUUUUUUACGUGUAAAUGAAAUCUGGCAAUGCAAGCCUUUUAUAUGAAACAGUUGGUUGCCUAUGUCAGGAUUUUAGGAUGGAGGCAGUAAUUUCAUUUUACUGUAGAAUUCUCCACGGUGUUUCUGAAAACAGAAGUCAGAAUUGGUUCGAAUUUCUCACUAUUUGUGAAUCUCUCUGAUGGUCAAACCAUACUUAACAGUGGUGAUAGUCCAAAGCACAGCCAAUGGGCAAAAUGGGUUUUUAAAACUCUGGCAAUGGCCAUUUGCAAAGAUGAUCUUUGUCAUAUGAUGACAUUUUCUGACGGUGGUGCGGUUGUCUUAUUUUCAUCACAGGAUAACUUUUCCACUGCAUCUUCUACUGAACUUGGCUUUGUUCUAGUGAUUUCUGUCCAAAUACAUUUCUAUCCAAUCAGGAGCAUGUAAAACUUGACAUUUAAAGGGUUGGUGUCAACUACACUGCCAUGGACAGUAAUAAUUGAUUUUCAUUUCUUAUGUUGGUAGGUAUGAAAAAAAUACAAACAGAUCAGUUCUAAAGGGUAAACAGAUAAAACAGCAUGUUGGAAACCAAUUUCAUUGUUUGCAUUUGCCUUCUCUCUGAUAACUCCUCUUCUUGAUAUUGGAGGGCUUACUGAA